GAUGAAGAACGCAGCGAAAUGCGAUACUUGGUGUGAAUUGCAGAAUCCCGUGAACCAUCGAGUCUUUGAACGCAAGUUGCGCCCGAAGCUAUCAGGUUGAGGGCACGUCUGCCUGGGCGUCACAUAUCGUUGCCCAAUGCCUAUUGCAGUGCAAUAGGAAUUUCUAGGGCGAAUGAUGGCUUCCCGUGAGCGUUGUCGCCUCGCGGUUGGUUGAAAAUCGAGUCCUUGGUAGGGUGUGCCAUGGUAGAUGGUGGUCGAGUUAGAACGAUACCGAUCAUGUGCAUGCUCCCCAAAAUAUGGCCUCUAUGACCCACACGCGUCUUUUGACGCUCAUGACGAGACCUCAGGUCAGGCGGGGCUACCCGCUGAAUUUAAGCAUAUCAAUAAGCGGAGGA
rnacentral:misc_RNA from 1 species